AUAGGAAAAGUUUAGGUUCAUUAAAUAUUAUUUUUUAGAUUUUUAAAAAAUAUUACAUGUGUCUUUUUACAUGAAGAAACUUUAUUUUUUUUUUAUAAAGUUAAUAAAAUUCCAAUAAUUAACUACUGUAUGGAAAAAGAAUCAUUUAACGAAAAUCUCAUGAGAUAAGUUGUAAAUUUCUGUUGAAUUAUCUUAUUUUCCAUAACAAAGUAAUUAUACUUUGUAUAGAACCAAGUAACCAUAGAAGGCACCAUUUUUUAAUUAAGAAAUUAGUUACAACAUGUGUUGAUCCCAUUAGGAUGGACUAAAUAUACACUCCCAUUUGGAUAUAAAAAAAAAAAGGAUCACAG
rnacentral:misc_RNA from 1 species